GGCUCCGCCAUCAACCCGCAGUUCCUGGCUGAGAUGCGGGACUCCAUCAACCAGGUGAAGACCACGGUGGCGGGGGUCGCACAGCGCAUCACGAGCGCCCCGGGCGCGGCGCACGCGCAGCUCUCCUGCCCGCCGGCCGCGUGCGCGUCGCUGGCGGCGCUGCUGCUGGUGGCGGGCGGGCAGCUCGCCGUGCUGCUCUCCUACCACAUAUACAGAGAAAGGAAAGAAGCACAAGCCAAGAAGUUCUUCUAAGUUAGAAGUGAGAUCCGCGCUGCCCACUAGCUCCUUAUGUAACGUCACAAUAUAUCUCUAUAUAAAUUAUUAUUUAAUUAUUUUCAAUCGAGGCUAAAUAUUAUAUAUUUUUUUUUAAUAAAAUUUACUUGUUUAUUGUUAAGCGUCGGUGCUCAUGAGGUUAAGGUAUUCGACGCGAAGGCCUAUAUUCCAAAUUCCAAGGUAUUCGAGUUCGAAUCCCACUGCGCUAGAAUACUUCUGACUUAGUUGAGAGAUUCAGGUUAUGAAGAUAUUUUCCCCUCUCAUGAUGUUUUCUCGAAUGCGUAAUCUGCUUGGCUAAGCUUCAAAAUAGCAUGUAAGUCAUACGUUACAUGCCGUGAAGAGACAAGUUAGUUGACUCACGUAUUUAAGUCUCCUUUUACGAUAUUGAAAAAGAAGCCGUAUUAAUUUUGGUACAAAAAUGUACCUAACAUCUGCAUCUUGUCAAAAAUGUAGAUACCGUUUCAUGUAAAUAAAUUAUUUUGAAUUGUGAACAAUAAAAACUAAUAAAACUAUAAACAGAUAAUUUUAAUAUGCCAAAAUUUAUAAUUGUUUGUUUUUUGUAAAAACUAAUAAUUAUGUCGAUAAGUGCGCGUUUACCUGUUGAUAAUUUUCUAAGGCUUUAGUAUUGAAUUUUAUUGUAAAUAUAUUUUUUACAAACGAAACGAAAUGUGGGCGGCGCAUAACCAAAUUCUUACCAUCAUUAUAUGUAAGGAGUUAAUUUAAAUUCUGUACAUAAUAUAUUUAUAUAUUAAAAUAUGUUUUCCUUAGGAAUGGCCCUUGAAAUAGAAAAUAAAGGUAACUAUAACACCUAGAAUAAUAUGUCACUCCUAAAAUAUCCAUUUAAUUCUUUAUUUCUUCCUAAAUUAUUUUUUUCGAAUGUUUACAUAAGUGUGGUUUGCCAAAAUAACUCCUCCUUUUUAAAAACGUUUACAAUACUGUAGAUUAUUUCUUUGCCAUUUCUAAAGGGAAUUAGUAGUGUUUUAUUUUGUCUCGACUUUUUUACUAGCUCUACGUCUUGAUUAAAAUCUUUUAAAGAAUAAAAUGAGUAACUGAUUAUAUACUUUUGUUAUUUUGUCAAACAAGUUUUAUAUUGUCGCUGUCUGCGAAUGACUUUAUUUUUUGUAAAAACUCGGUUGUAAUAUUGUAAUUAAAUUACUGAAAUCUAUUCUUUCUUCUGCAUUUAUAUGAUAAGUUUCUUUUUUAAUAAAUGGAUUUA
rnacentral:lncRNA from 1 species